GACACAGUGCCAGAGUGGUUAAUGGGUAUGACUCGAAUAUUCUCGAUAUCAUAUGGCUUCGGUCGCAGAGGUUCGAAUCCUCUCUGUGUCG